ACCCGGGUUAUCCAGGCUGAGAAUGAGAAGAUGGAAGGACAGAGUAAGAAACUGAUCCGAGGACAUACCCGCCGAUCUCUACGUCUUCACUGAUACACAGAAUGGGGAAGGAAAAAAGAUCCAGGUCAAUCAAACCAAAGUUGGCUUUUGUUUCUGUACUAGCUAAGAAAGGAAGUCAACACAUGCAUGGAUGUAAUUAAAGACAGCCAUGAUUCUUGCAUGAGUGUGAUCAGUGGAGUGCACCGCUUCAGUAAAACAGCUAUCACGAGGAAGACUGGAAAUAUAAAUGACUUUGUGAUUAAGGAUUGAAUGAUACCAAGCGUGUGGACUAACCCUGCUGUGACCUUCCAUACCUUAAAACAAACGUGUGCGAUUCAAAACAGAACAAAACAAAAACAGUCCAGUUUCUUCAUUUUUGACAAUAUAACAAUUUAAUACAAAAACCAAACAUUUUUUUCUCUUGUUUAGCAUUUCAUAGACAUAUACAGUAUAUUUAUAUAUUUGUGUUUCUAUGAGUGAUAAAAGUUCACAUCAUUGAACAAAAACAAAAAAAAACAAACCUGGAUACAGAGCAACCAAAAGAGGUUAUCAAUAAUUACAAAGACAACACAGUCACCGACAUACCGCCCAAUUGAAGAUGAAAGCUGGAUAAUUAUCAGCAUGGGUUUACAUACAAUUACAUAUUUUGCCAUCAUGAGUGUGCGAGUGUUUCAUGCAAACUGUAAAAAAAAAAAGAAAAGGAAAUUAAUUAAAAUUUAAACUAAUUACACAUUAAAAAUGAAGUGUUAUCUUUCAUUCUGUAACAUUCUUCUGUGAUAAAAAAUGAUUGUAAAACACGGGUGAUUGGAUCUGGUUGGCAAAUGUUUAUCACAAACAAGACACUAAAAAAAAUAUCUGGGGCUGAUUAUCACUUGUAGAUCAUGUUUUUAGCUCCGGUUAUUCCAUUUUAAUCCUAAAUACCCUGAUUAAACCAUUAAUAAAAAUACCAAUCAUUAGGAGGGCGAUGGAGAAGCCAUCAAAACUGUCAAAACAACAGUCAAAUAUUGGGAAACGUUUCAAACAUUAGGACCGUGUCUCUCCAUUUUAAAAAAUAACAUUAAUCAAGGACGAUAUUUAUGACAACAAUAACGAAUGGCUUUAAAAAGUACACAAUUCCUGCUUGUUAAUUAUUGCUGUGUGAUUUCUUUUUAUAUUUCUUUUUACAAAAAGGAGUACAAAAAGCCCAUACUUGGUAUAGGGUAAUGCAGGGCCACAGAAAGAAGAAUAUCAAGCGAGUCAGAAUCCCUACGACUUAAAGUUGAUAAUGAUAUUUUACGCAUCCAUUUUACAUACAUACUGUAUAUAUGUAGGCAAAAAAAAAAAAAAAAAAAAAAAUAUUGUUUACAUUUCCAACCAGCACCGAGACAAACAGUGUGUUGCCAUUUUAACACUAUGUGCCUGUUGUUGGAGUAAAUCAUUCAAUGCAAAGAAAUAAACUCACAUGUAGAGGAAAAACAAAAUAAUUACAUUUAUAGGAGAAGCCACCAUUGUACAUAGAAAACUGUACUCAUUAAUGUAGAAAGCAAUGCUGACAUGCAGAGGCAUGCUGUGGAUUUAAAAUCGUGAGUGACGUUAGCACAGACACUGGUGGGUUUUGCGUGCGACAGCAGAGAAUUAAAAAAAUAAAA